GUGGGGAAUCUUCCGCAAUGGACAAAAGUCUGACGGAGCAACGCCGCGUGAGUGAAGAAGGUUUUCGGAUCGUAAAGCUCUUUCGUUAGGGACGAACGUGCUCUUUGUGAAUAAUGAGGAGUAAUGACGGUACCUAAAUAAGAAGCCACGGCUAACUACGUGCCAGCAGCCGCGGUAAUACGUAGGUGGCAAGCGUUGUCCGGAAUUAUUGGGCGUAAAGCGCGCGCAGGCGGGAUAUCAAGUCUGUCUUAAAAGUGCGAGGCUCAACCUCGUGAGGGGACGGAAACUGGUAUUCUUGAGUGUCGGAGAGGAAAGUGGAAUUCCAAGUGUAGCGGUGAAAUGCGUAGAGAUUUGGAAGAACACCAGUGGCGAAGGCGACUUUCUGGACGAUGUCUGACGCUGAGGCGCGAAAGCUAGGGGAGCGAACGGGAUUAGAUACCCCGGUAGUCC
rnacentral:rRNA from 1 species